rnacentral:lncRNA from 1 species
CAUUUAGUCACAAUGUGUCUGUGAGUUAGUUAUUAUGAUCUCUGUCUAAUAAGACUUGAAAAAGUUAAGUGAAUUUCUCAAGGUCAUCUAGUAAGAGGAAUACAAGACACAAAACCUAGUGCUUCUGAGGCUACAUUCAGAGCUUCUGCACUACCAGGGACAGGCUUUAAUGAAGAACAAAGAAAGGAAAUAAAGCAGCAGCCAGCGGCCAUUCUCCACCUCCACAGCUUUGAAACCUAAAGGAGACCUGAGCUGGUGUGAGGGAGAUUUAAACUGAAUAAGUUUAGACUUCUCUGCUAAAG